UACAGAGGGUGCAAGCGUUGUUCGGAAUUAUUGGGCGUAAAGCGUGCGCAGGCGGUUUUGUAAGACUGUCGUGAAAUCCCCGGGCUCAACCUGGGAAUGGCGAUGGUGACUGCAAGGCUAGAGUUUGGCAGAGGGGGGUAGAAUUCCACGUGUAGCAGUGAAAUGCGUAGAUAUGUGGAGGAACACCGAUGGCGAAGGCAGCCCCCUGGGUCAAAACUGACGCUCAUGCACGAAAGCGUGGGGAGCAAACAGG
rnacentral:rRNA from 1 species